rnacentral:rRNA from 1 species
CUCGGGAAUUGAGGAAAUACUCCAUAGAUCAUGGGAUCUGGAAUGACCCAUGGUUCAAAGUUCCGGCGCUUAAGGAUCGCUCUGCGGCCUAUCAGGUAGUAGUGGGUGUAAAGUACCCCCUAGCCUACGACGGGUAUGGGCCUUGAGAGAGGGAGCCCAGAGUUGGAUUCUGAGACACGAAUCCAGGCCCUACGGGGCGCAGCAGUCGCGAAAACUUCACACUGGGGGCAACCCCGAUGAGGGAAAUCCUAGUGCUAGGACAUUUGUUCUAGCUUUUCUCAAGCGUAGAUAACUUGAGGAAUAAGGGCUGGGUAAGACGGGUGCCAGCCGCCGCGGUAAUACCUGCAGCCCGAGUGGUGGUCGAUUUUAUUGAGUCUAAAACGUUCGUAGCCGGCCCGGUAAAUCCCUGGGUAAAUCGGGAAGCUCAACUUCCCGAAUUCCGGGGAGACUGCCGGGCUUGGGACCGGGAGAGGCUAGAGGUACUUCUGGGGUAGGGGUAAAAUCCCGUAAUCCUGGAAGGACCACCGGUGGCGAAGGCGUCUAGCUAGAACGGAUCCGACGGUGAGGGACGAAGCCCUGGGUCGCAAACGGGAUUAGAUACCCCGGUAGUCCAGGGUGUAAACGCUGCAGACUUGGUGUUGGGGGCCCUUCGGGGGCGUCCAGUGCCGGAGAGAAGUUGUUAAGUCUGCUACUUGGGGAGUACGUCCGCAAGGAUGAAACUUAAAGGAAUUGGCGGGGGAGCACCGCAACGGGAGGAGCGUGCGGUUUAAUUGGAUUCAACACCGGAAAACUCACCAAGGGCGACUGUUACAUGAAGGCCAGGCCGACGACCUUGCCGGAUUUUCAGAGAGGUGGUGCAUGGCCGUCGUCAGUUCGUACCGUAAGGCGUUCUCUUAAGUGAGAUAACGAACGAGACCCUCACCGAUAAUUGCUACUUCUUCCUCCGGGGAGGGGGCACAUUAUCGGGACCGCUGGCGCUAAGCCAGAGGAAGGAGAGGUCAACGGUAGGUCAGUAUGCCCCGAAUCUCUUGGGCUACACGCGCGCUACAAAGGGCGGGACAAUGGGCUCCGACGCCGAGAGGCGGAGGCAAUCCCGAAACCCGUCCGUAGUUCGGAUUGAGGGCUGUAACCCGCCCUCAUGAAGCUGGAUUCCGUAGUAAUCGCGA